CUUUUGUUAUUCUGCUGCUAGAAGUUAGAACAUUCAAGAAUUGAGGGUACACCUAUAAACAGACUGGCAGAUGAUAUAGCGCUUAAUGUCUUGCCUCAGUUUGUCAUUGUGUCAGAACAUCCGAAAAAAAGAUAGGAGAAAAGUUGGAGUUUAGGGCAUAAUUUUCCUUUAAUAAUUUGGAGCUCAAAAAUAUUACAAUGAGAAAAUAUAAAAAGUUAUUAAUUAGCAGGAGACUUAAUCACAUGAAGAAUUUCAAUUAGAUAUUUCUUCUACGUAGUAUAGUUAUAACUUUGCAUUCCAUUGUUUUCCUUCUCUAUAGUCCGUGUAUUUCUGUGGUUUUUUUUUUUUUCAGGUUUUGAGUUCAAGAACGAGAUUAAAAAAGAAAAUCUAAAAUGGGAUGAUUCAGAGGAAGUAGAAAUAAACAAGGCUUUACAGAGAAAGUCCAGAGUUUAUUGGCACUCUGAGCUACAAAAAGGCUUGGAGAGUGAGCCAACAUCAAGAAGGCAAUGUAGAAAUUCUCCAGGGGAGAGUGAGGAGAAAACCCCAUCCCAGGAGAAGAUGAGUCACCAGAGUUUUUGUGCCAGGGACAAAGCCUGUACACAUAUCCUCUGUGGGAAAAACUGCUCUCAGAGUGUGCACUCUCCCCACAAGCCAGCGCUCGAACUGGAAAAAGUAUCUCAAUGUCCCGAAUGUGGGAAAACCUUUAGCCGAAGUUCUUAUCUUGUUCGGCAUCAAAGAAUCCACACAGGCGAGAAGCCUCACAAGUGCAGUGAGUGCGGGAAGGGCUUUAGUGAGCGCUCCAACCUCACUGCCCACUUACGAACUCACACAGGGGAGAGGCCCUAUCAGUGUGGGCAAUGUGGGAAAAGCUUCAACCAGAGUUCCAGCCUCAUUGUCCACCAGAGGACCCAUACCGGGGAAAAGCCUUACCAGUGCAUUGUCUGUGGAAAGAGAUUCAAUAACAGUUCCCAGUUCAGUGCUCACCGGCGCAUCCACACUGGGGAGAGCCCAUACAAGUGUGCAGUGUGUGGGAAAAUCUUCAACAAUAGCUCCCACUUCAGUGCCCACCGAAAAACCCACACUGGUGAAAAGCCUUACAGGUGUUCUCACUGUGAGAGAGGCUUCACUAAGAACUCUGCCCUCACCCGUCAUCAGACAGUACACAUGAAAGCAGUACUCUCAUCACAGGAAGGAAGAGAUGUGUUAUGAGUGUGUCGGUAAACUGUCAGAUUAAGUUCCUCAGGUCAGCAUGUAUGAGCUUUCUUCUGCUGUGGAGAGAUCUAGCCAGUCCCUGACUUUGCAACAGACCUACUGACUACUGGAUCUUAAGACCCAUGUCUAGGACCAGGAGUCAGCAUAAGGACGCUGACCUCUCCUGGCUGUGCCUGUGACUCCAGAGUCCUAUCUUACUGUGACUUAAAGUUUGAUGGAGAGAAAGCUGUAGGAUCCAUAAAUUCUACCAGGAAACCAGGGUCUUCCUGUUCCUAGCACUGAGAAUGGGCACCCAGUGGUCCAAGAACACUUUCUGGGCUAACAUAGUCCUCCCACAGGGCUGAGAAAGAAAGUGUCUCCUUUCCUGGGAAGCACAUGUAAAAGUUAAGGGCCUGAAUCUCUUCUAAACCAAUAAUUGACCUCUAGGCACCCACCAUAAUACUGCUACCUUCAGGGCAGAAGACACUGCUCUUUGUAACCCAGCCACCACCAAAAAGCGAAAUAAGGAAGGAUGGUUAAGCCAUUGGAUAAUACUGAAUCUGUUUCCCUAAGUGACUUAACCUUAGAGCAAGCACAACAUCCAGGUUAAUUUUUUGUAAGAUUUCUCCUUUUAUUAUUGUCCUCAUCAUAGUUCCUGAUUGUCUCUUAAAGUAAGUGGUUUAUAGACAUUACUAUUUCUGAUAAUAAUUUACAAACUACUAUAAACAAAUUUAUAAACAUUACUAAUUUCUGAUGAAAAUAAAGUUGUUUCUCCCUCCA
rnacentral:sRNA from 1 species